AAGGCUCAUCAAAGUCACAUCGAUGAAAAAUGUCAUGUUUGACUUGACCUUCUUACAAGUCUAGUUCAGCAGGAUGAUCUUAUUUGACAUAAGGUGAACUUUAUUUUGAAAGGAACUUGUAUGUGCUCCUGUCAAAAGUAAAGAAAGUUAAAUUGCUUGAAAAUAGGAAAUUUAUAACACUGUUAGAAUUUUAUUAUUGUAAUAUUUAAAACCUAAAUUUUGUAACUGAAUGACUUAAUGGCCACAAAUUAUUGUAAUUAUUGAUGUGGGACUUUGUGACCUUUUAUUGGGUCCAAACGGCUCUUUUAGCAUUGAAGGUUACAGACUUAAGGCAAUUUUUUUACAUUGUGAAACAGGCCAAUCAACAACUGUUCGUAGUUUUUCAAGCUAUUGAUAAUAGUUUUUUAUGUCAUAUAAAAUCAAAAUUUGGUUGUGUAAAUCUCCAAAAUUCUCCAUCAAACCAAAAAAUAAAUAAAAAUAAAAAA